rnacentral:tRNA from 4 species
GGAAUGUUAGCUCAGUUGGUAGAGCAUUCGGCUUACAUCCGAAGGGUCAGGGGUUCGAGUCCCUUACAUUCCA